UUGGAGGCUGUGAUGUACCAAACUACCUAUUUUCUGAGGGAAGAAGCGAAUGCUUCCCUUAUGAUUAUAGAAACCAAUGGAUCCUUCUGAGCCCUUCCA